GCAUUUCCUUUGAGAGCCCCUCCCAGGCUCUUUACUCUCCCCGUUCCCCAGCAGAGUCUGCAGAGGAUUCCUCCCAUAAAUUCUACCUACUUCUGUGACAGCAAAUCCUACAUGGUGGUGAAGUUAUACAUUUACGCCAGUCUCUCUAUCUAGACUGCGAGUGUCUUGAGGAUAUGGGAAUCCAUAAAAUCAGGCACUGCUCUUGAAAACCCUGUACUCCUCAACAAGUUCCUCCUCUUGACAUUUGCAGAUCUAAAGAAGUACCACUUCUACUAUUGGUUUUGCUAUCCUGCCCUCUGUCUUCCAGAGAGUUUACCUCUCAUUCAGGGGCCAGUGGGUUUGGAUCAAAGGUUUUCACUAAAACAGAUUGAAGCACUAGAGUGUGCAUAUGAUAAUCUUUGUCAAACAGAAGGAGUCACAGCUCUUCCUUACUUCUUAAUCAAGUAUGAUGAGAACAUGGUGCUGGUUUCCUUGCUUAAACACUACAGUGAUUUCUUCCAAGGUCAAAGGACGAAGAUAACAAUUGGUGUAUAUGAUCCCUGUAACUUAGCCCAGUACCCUGGAUGGCCU
rnacentral:lncRNA from 10 species